CCUGGGCACUAUACGUGGCACCGCUUCCAAGGCUCAUUCCAGUGUGGAAAGGGGAGAGAGGUGGCGAGAGUGCUGCCAGGUACAGUCAGCAAGAGGCAUAAGAACACAGGGGGAGCCCAAGCCAUCUAUAGAGCACACCCACCGAGUUUGUCUGUAAGAUCACACUCACUUCCUUUUCAGAAAUUGCCUUAUUUAUUCAUUUUUUAAUGGUAUGGCAUAAGGACUCUCGUAUUUUAUAGAUAGAUACCAAACUGGUAUUAUCAAAAUAAACCAUCUGUUUUAUAAACCAAUUAUUUACAAAAAUGGUUUCUGAAGCUUUUUGUUCUGUUUUUU